rnacentral:rRNA from 1 species
AUUGAACUCUGGCGGCAGGCUUAACACAUGCAAGUCGAGCGAGCGGCGGACGGGUGAGUAAUGUCUGGGAAACUGCCUGAUGGAUGGGGAUAACUAAUGGAAACGGUAGCUAAUACCGCAUACCAUCAGAUGGGCCCAGAUGGGAUUAGCGAGUAGGUGUGGUAAUGUCUCACCUAGGAGACGAUCCCUAGCUGGUCUGAGAGGAUGACCAUCAACACGGGAACUGAUACACGGUCCAGACUCCUACGGGAGGCAGCAGUGGGGAAUAUUGCACAAUGGGCGCAAGCCUGAUGCAGCCAUGCCGCGUGUAUGAAGAAGGCCGUCGGGUUGUAAAGUACUUUCAGCGGGGAGGCGUUACCCGCAGAAGAAGCACCGGCUAACUCCGUGCCAGCCGCCGCGGUAAUAC